rnacentral:tmRNA from 1 species
GGGGAUGUUUAUGGAUUCGCCGGGGUAUGAUGUGUUAUUAUAAGCAAGCCUUGGUUGCGCAAGUAAAAACGUGAGGUUACAAAUAACCGGAAACCAAAAUUUAUUAUUUGCUUAAGAAAAAGCAAAAACCAAACCUUUGAAUCGCUUACGUUCAAUGGGGCGGCUAACUUUUAGUAAGAUAUACUAGUUUAGAUGCUAAUAUAAACUGGCAAACUUUAAUUAGCUAGCUAAUCUUUAGUUUGAGUAUUUAAUAAACUUAGUGAAAUAAACUAAAUACUAUAAGCUUGUAGAAAGUAAUAUCAUGUGUGCUUCGUACAGGGGUUCAAAUCCCCUCAUCUCCACCA